rnacentral:lncRNA from 1 species
CUGCAUUGCAUAGUCUUGUUCACUGCCACUUCCUGUUUCCUCCACAUGUUAUAGGCCCCUUCUCUGAAGAUGCCUCUGGAUCUUGGUAAAGAGGAGGCUGGUCUGUACAAGUUUGCUUGGGUGCCACCUUCCUCUUCUUCUUCUAAUUGUUGUUCUUCUGCUUCUGUAUGUUCUCUUUCUUCUGAUUCUUUUAAUCAUGACUGUUCUAGCCAUAAAGUUGUUGCUUUACCUUCAACUGUAAAUAGUUCCAUCUGUAAUAAUGUUGUUACCACUGACAUGAGAAUUCUUGUAAACCUGACUGUUCUAGUCAUGAAGUUGUUACUUUACCUUCAAUUGUAAAUAGUUCAAUCUGUAAUAAUGCUGUUGCCAGUGACAUGAAUUACAUUUGGCAUUUGAGAUUGAAUCAUAUUUCAUUUGCAAACAUGAAACACAUUUCUGCCUUGUCUUUUCCAUUUGCUUCUAAACAACCUUUCCAUUGUUCUAUUUGUUCUAUGGCUAGGCAAACUAGACUUCCCUUUCCUGAAAGCACAAUAAGUACAUCUAGACCUUUCCAAUUGAUCCAUGUAGAUACUUGGGGCCCUUAUCACACUCCCACUUCUUUUGGCUCUAGAUACUUUCUAACAAUAGUUGAUGACUUUUCUAGAGCAACCUGGACACAUUUAUUGGGGUCUAAAAGCAAUGCUUUCUGCAUGCUUAUAGUUGAUGACUUUUCUAGAGCAACCUGGACACAUUUAUUGGGGUCUAAAAGCAAUACUUUCUGCAUGCUUAAGUCUUUUAUGUGUAUGGUUAAAACCCAGUUUAAUGCUGUUGUUCAAACUAUUAGGAGUGACAAUGCUUUGGAAUAGGGGUAUAGUAUUGCUGGUGCAUCAUUUUUUAGUCAACAAGGCAUUAUUCAUCAAACCACUUGUCCACAUACUCCUCAACAGAAUGGUAUUGCUGAAAGGAAACAUAAGUCUCUUCUUGAAACUGGUAGAGCUUUACUCUUCCAAUCUGGUUUACCUAUCUCUUUCUGGAGAGAUUGCCUAUUGACUGCUACUUACCUUAUUAACAGAAUACCCUCCAGGCUCCUUCAAGGCAAAUCCCUUUAUGAAAUUUUGCAUGGAAAGGAACCUACAUACUCCUAGUUAAGGGCAUUUGGUUGCCUUGCCUAUGCUGCUGUCCCAAUUCCUCAAAGGGACAAGUUGAAACCUAGGGCCAUUUCAUUUGUCUUCCUGGGGUAUCCUUUUGCUAAAAAGGUUAUAGACUGUAUGAUCUCAGUUCCAAGAAGUGCUUUAGGUCCAGGGAUGUUAUUUUCCAUGAAACUUCUUUUCCUUUUAAAUCUGUUUCUUCUGUUACCUCUACUCCUUCUGUUUCUUCCUCUUCUUUUCCUUUUGUUCCUCCUCUUGAGCAUUCCCUUUCUGAGCCAGACUUCUCUGUUCCCAUCUGUUCCUCUCCACCUUCUCCUUCUGCCUCAGCUUCUCCUUCUUCCAAUCCAGUUUCCAGUCCUCCUUUAAACCCUGAUAUUUCUCAUCCUGCUUUGCCUUCUUCCACAUCACCUAAUGUUCCCAGAAAAUCUGGAAGAUAGCACAAUCCUCCUUCUUAUCUUAAGGAUUAUGUCUGUCAUCUUCCUGCUUUCUCUGGAUCUUCUUCUUCUCCUCUGGGGUCUGAACCUCUUUAUUACUCUCAAGCUGCCUCAGUUCCAGUAUGGUAGGAUGCCAUGAGAAAGGAGUUUGAUGCUUUGGAUGCCAACUAUACCUGGGAUGUUGUUCCCCUUCCUCCUGGUAAGAACCCAUAGGCUGCAAAUGGGUUUUUAAGAUCAAAUAUAUGGCUGGUGGUAGUGUUCAAAGACACAAAGGUAGACUUGUUAUUAGAGGGGAUACUCAAAUUGAAGGGGUUGAUUUCACUGACACUUUUUUUCCUGUGGUUAAAAUGUCCACUGUGAAGUGUCUUAUUGCAGUGGCUGUUAAGAACCAUUGGAAUGACACUUUUUCUCCUGUGGUUAAAAUGUCCACUGUGAAGUGUAUUAUUGCAGUGGCUGUUAAGAACAAUUGGAAUCUUUUUCAACUUGAUGUUAACAAUGCUUUCUUGCGUGGUGAUUUGGAUGAGGAGGUCUAUAUGAAGCUCCCUCCAGGUUUAUCAAUUUCUGUCUCUUCUACUGAUUCUGUUUCCCCUGCAUCUCCUCCUCUUGUCUGUAAGUUGAAAAAAUCUCUCUAUGGGUUGAGACAGGCAUCCAGACAAUGGUAUGCUAAGCUGUCUUCUACUCUCUACUCCAGAGGAUAUACUCAUUCUUUGAAUGACUAUUCUCUGUUUAUCUAAGGCCAACCUGGUUGUCUGGUUGUUGUGGCAGUCUAAGUGGAUGACAUUAUUAUUAUUGGGGAUGACAAUGAUGAGUUUUCUGCCCUGAAGCUGUUUCUGGAUGAUCAGUUCAGGGUUAAAGACCUGGGGUCUUGGCAUUAUUUUUUGGGCAUAGAGAUGUAUGUUGUUCCUGGUGGGAUGCUCCUAAAUCAGCAUAAAUAUGUUUCUGACCUACUGCAUCAGUUUGACUGUAUGAAUGCUUCUCCUGUUGUUUGUCCUUUGGAUCUUAAUGUAAAACUCCAUGCUGAUUCUGGAGACAUCUCCUCAUCCCCUGAUCAAUAUAGGAGCAUUAUUGGUAAGCUCUUAUUUUUGACUCACACCAGGCCUGACAUCUACUUUGCUGUUCACCAUCUGAGUCAGUAUUUGAAGUGUCCCAGAGUCCCUCAUAUGACUACUGCACUACAUGUCCUCAGAUAUCUUAAGGGAACUAAAAAUUUGGGGCUCUUCUAUUAUGAAAGUUCUGAUUUCUCUGUACAUGCUUAUUCUGACAGUGAUUGGGCUGCUUGUCUAGAUACUCGCAGGUCUGUGACUGGUUUUUGUGUUCUUUUGGGUGGCUGCUUGAUUAGUUGGAUGUCCAAGAAACAACCUGUAGUUUCUUUAUCCUCUGCUGAACCUGAGUAUCGGGCUCUCAGUAAGGUAGUAGCUGAAUUGUCUUGGCUUUCCCGUUUGCUCACUGACAUUGGUGUUUCUGUUUCUCUUCCCUUUUAUGUUUUCUGUGACAACCAGGCUGCUAUACAUAUUGCCAAAAAUUCUGUUUUUCAUGAGCGGACCAA